UGGCCUAAACCCAGAAGGCUGCUUCCCAAAACUGCUGUGCUCGAGUGUGAGAGAGGCUCGUGGAAUUGCAGGUGUAGCGGUGAAAUGCGUAGAUAUCUGCAGGAACACCCGUGGCGAAAGCGGCGAGCUGGAUCACUACUGACGCUGAGGAACGAAAGCUAGGGGAGCAAACAGGAUUAGAUACCCUGGUAGUCCUAGCCCUAAACGAUCAGGACUUGGGGUGCCGCCCGUUCGGGCGUCGUCCCGGAGCUAACGCGUUAAGUCCUGCACCUGGGGAGUACGGUCGCAAGACUGAAACUCAAAGGAAUUGACGGGGGCCCGCACAAGCGGUGGAACAUGUGGUUCAAUUCGACGCUACGCGAGGAACCUUACCUGGGCUCGAAAUGCUAGUGACCAGCUGUAGAAAUACGGCCUUCCCGCAAGGGACACCAGUAUAGGCGCUGCAUGGCUGUCGCCCGCUCGUGCCGUGAGGUGUUGGGUUAAGUCCCGCAACGAGCGCAACCCCUGCACACAGUUACUACUCGCAAGAGAGGACUCUGUGUGGACUGCUCCGGAUAACGGAGAGGAAGGUGGGGAUGACGUCAAGUCCGCAUGGCCUUUAUGUCCAGGGCUACACACGUGUUACAAUGCAGGGCACAAACCGUUGCCAACCCGCGAGGGGGAGCUAAUCGGAAAAAACUCUGCUCAGUUCGGAUUGCAGUCUGCAACUCGACUGCAUGAAGCCGGAAUCGCUAGUAAUGGCGUAUCAGAUCGACGCCGUGAAUACGUUCCCGGGCCUUGUACACACCGCCCGUCACAUCACGAAAGUGAGUUGUACUAGAAGUCGCCGCGCGAACCGCAAGGACGCAAGCGCCCAAGGUAUGACUCAUGAUGGUAAGCUACAGCAUUACCCACUGGCAUUAA
rnacentral:rRNA from 1 species